GAUGAACGCUGGCGGCGUGCCUAAUACAUGCAAGUCGAACGCAUAGCGAAAGGUGCUUGCACCUUUCAAGUGAGUGGCGAACGGGUGAGUAACACGUGGACAACCUGCCUCAAGGCUGGGGAUAACAUUUGGAAACAGAUGCUAAUACCGAAUAAAACUUAGUGUCGCAUGACACAAAGUUAAAAGGCGCUUCGGCGUCACCUAGAGAUGGAUCCGCGGUGCAUUAGUUAGUUGGUGGGGUAAAGGCCUACCAAGACAAUGAUGCAUAGCCGAGUUGAGAGACUGAUCGGCCACAUUGGGACUGGGCCACGGCCCAAACUCCUACGGGAGGCUGCAGUAGGGAAUCUUCCACAAUGGGCGAAAGCCUGAUGGAGCAACGCCGCGUGUGUGAUGAAGGCUUUCGGGUCGUAAAGCACUGUUGUAUGGGAAGAACAGCUAGAAUAGGAAAUGAUUUUAGUUUGACGGUACCAUACCAGAAAGGGACGGCUAAAUACGUG
rnacentral:rRNA from 1 species